rnacentral:rRNA from 1 species
CGGCGAGUGAAGCAGCAAUAGCUCAAAUUUGAAAUCUGGCGCUUUCGGCGUCCGAGUUGUAAUUUGUAGAGGAUGCUUCUGGGCAGCCACCGACCUAAGUUCCUUGGAACAGGACGUCAUAGAGGGUGAGAAUCCCGUAUGCGGUCGGAAAGGCACCCUACACGUAGCUCCUUCGACGAGUCGAGUUGUUUGGGAAUGCAGCUCUAAAUGGGAGGUAAAUUUCUUCUAAAGCUAAAUAUUGGCCAGAGACCGAUAGCGCACAAGUAGAGUGAUCGAAAGAUGAAAAGCACUUUGGAAAGAGAGUUAAAAAGCACGUGAAAUUGUUGAAAGGGAAGGGAUUGCAACCAGACUUGCUCGCGGUGUUCCGCCGGUCUUCUGACCGGUCUACUCGCCGCGUUGCAGGCCAGCAUCGUCUGGUGCCGCUGGAUAAGACUUGAGGAAUGUAGCUCCCUCGGGAGUGUUAUAGCCUCUUGUGAUGCAGCGAGCGCCGGGCGAGGUCCGCGCUUCGGCUAGGAUGCUGGCGUAAUGGUUGUAAUCCGCCCGUCUUGAAACACGGACCAAGGAGUCUAACAUCUAUGCGAGUGUUCGGGUGUCAAACCCCUACGCGUAAUGAAAGUGAACGGAGGUGAGAACCGCAAGGUGCAUCAUCGACCGAUCCUGAUGUCUUCGGAUGGAUUUGAGUAUGAGCAUAGCUGUUGGGACCCGAAAGAUGGUGAACUAUGCCUGAAUAGGGUGAAGCCAGAGGAAACUCUGGUGGAGGCUCGCAGCGGUUCUGACGUGCAAAUCGAUCGUCAAAUUUGGGU